rnacentral:tRNA from 1 species
GCGCCCGUAGCUCAGUCGGAUAGAGCAUCAGAUUCCUAAUCUGGGGGCCACAGGUUCGGAAUCGGAGCGCCGCAGGCGCGGAGAUGACGGAGCAGCGCAGCUGCGGAGUAAUCCUGUCGGGCGUU